AGUGAACGCUGGCGGUAGGCCUAACACAUGCCAGUCGAACGGCAGCACAGUAAGAGCUUGCUCUUACGGGUGGCGAGUGGCGGACGGGUGAGGAAUACAUCGGAAUCUACUUUUUCGUGGGGGGUAACGUAGGGAAACUUACGCUAAUACCGCAUACGACCUACGGGUGAAAGCAGGGGAUCUUCGGACCUUGCGCGAUUGAAUGAGCCGAUGUCGGAUUAGCUAGUUGGCGGGGUAAAGGCCCACCAAGGCGACGAUCCGUAGCUGGUCUGAGAGGAUGAUCAGCCACACUGGAACUGAGACACGGUCCAGACUCCUACGGGAGGCAGCAGUGGGGAAUAUUGGACAAUGGGCGCAAGCCUGAUCCAGCCAUACCGCGUGGGUGAAGAAGGCCUUCGGGUUGUAAAGCCCUUUUGUUGGGAAAGAAAAGCAGCAGGUUAAUACCCCGCUGUUCUGACGGUACCCAAAGAAUAAGCACCGGCUAACUUCGUG
rnacentral:rRNA from 1 species